rnacentral:rRNA from 1 species
AUACAGAGGGUGCAAGCGUUAUUCGGAAUUACUGGGCGUAAAGCGCGCGCAGGCGGGCUGAUAAGUUGGAUGUGAAAGCCUACGGCUCAACCGUAGAACUGCAUCCAAAACUGUCAGUCUAGAGUGUGGGAGAGGAAGAUGGAAUUAGUUGUGUAGGGGUAAAAUCCGUAGAGAUAACUAGGAAUACCAAAAGCGAAGGCAAUCUUCUGGAACACUACUGACGCUGAGGCGCGAAGGCGUGGAGAGCAAACAGGAUUAGAAACCCUAGUAGUCC